AUUGCAAUGAGGGCAAUUAGUGUGAGCUGAAAGAAGCAGACAACAAGCAGAAGUCAUAACUUGUGAAACUUUCUGGGGAUGCAAUGUAUUUAGUUAGGCCCUGUAGUACCCUGAUAUUGUGACUCAGUCCCUGAACUUUCUCAUAUAAAUCAGUUUCAUCUUUGGCCGCUAAGAAGAAAAAUCUAACAUGUGAUGUUUUCCUAUAAACUGAUCUUUUUGACCCUGCUCCAAGUAAAAGGCUUGUUUAGAAGAAAGGGUAUAUAGGUAAUUAACUGGAGAAAGUUUGCGGACUAGACGUUUGAGUGAAAAGUUGAGGGACUAAGCCACAGUAUCAGUUUGAAGAUGUAGACGAAAGAGUUUCUCUUCAUCAACAAAUACUCCCUAGCAAAGCAAGCUUUCAACAAUUCCUUCUUUGCUAUGCCAUACUUAGAAGUUGUCAAAGCAGCAGGGUGGUUCUUGCUCUUGUCAAAAGGGGUGGAGAGUUCCUCUCCCAACCUACGUCCCACGUGGAAUGACUGAAAUGCAUCUGAGAAUUCUUUGACAGGAACAAAGCGGAAGUCGGCAACGCCUUUCCUCUCAGGGCAUCUAAAGCCCAUGGAUUCAAAAAACUCAAGAACAUGUGCGCGGGGGCCUUGAUAUACAAUCUGCCCUUCUGAGAGUAGAAUUAUGUCAUCGAAAAGCUCAUAAGUCUCAGGUGCUGGCUGAAGCAAAGCUAUCAAUGCGGUCCCACCUAGGAUGUGGUUUGACUGUCUUAGUGAGUUGACUAUCUGAGAUUCCUCUCAACAUUGCAUCCCCUACCAUGGUGUCAGCACAAACAUCUAAUCCUAAAAUCUGCAGUUUAACAGGGAUGCUGCCUGCAGAAAGAGUGAAAGCAACAAAAAUGAACUUACAUCGACGUAACUGACAAUUUCAUAAUAGAUCGGGCUUGAUGUUUGCUGCCUUCUCUCUUCUUGCUAGCUCAGUCAACAUAUCUGAAUUUAUCACAUAUCAUGCUGGCUUAUAUAUGCUGAGGUUCUUUGCGGAAUAAACUCAUUCAUCAAAUGUCCAUUGUUUUGAUUCUUAUCGUGUGGUGUGAUGUGGUAAUAAGCUCGUCCACGACCUGAAAAAUGUGGCUGUGCAUGAAAAAUGUGGCCGUGCAUGUGUCCUAUCAGGGUGGUUAUAUCAUCUUCUUAAACAUAAUAGCAGACGACUCCAUGUAACAAGGGCCAUUGCACACUUUGACUUUGACGUUGACGUUGAUUUGAGAUUGCAGUUUCCUACCAGGCUUAAUUUUUCACCGACAAUUACUUAUCAAAGUGGUACAGUCCUGGAAAUGGCUCGCAUUUCCCUUUCAUUUAUUCCAAACGUCAAACGUGGAAAUUUGGUGGAUUGAUGAUGCACGGUCGUUGCAUAGCUCACCUUUGAGCUUGAAUUGAGAUUGCAAUUUCUCUACCAGGCUUAAUUUUUGCCGGCUUUUGCUUCUAGAUUGUGCGAAUUGAUGCCUCAGAGUCUUAUUAUAGCUGUUUGGGACCUUCGGGUUAAAUUAACUAAAGAAACUUCAAAAUAGGAACUUGUGAUGUAGUGUACUUCUCACGUUGGCAACUUCUGGUUCUAUUUGUAUCUGAGGCUACUUUUUGUUU